rnacentral:rRNA from 1 species
UCGAAGCCUCACAAGCAGUGCGACCCUGUGAAUUUGUUUGACUACUCGGGGGUGGCUAGAGGUGUUCGGCACCACGGUCCCCCUCUUGCCAGGAGGUGUACACCCUGUGUGAUCCCCUCCUGGCCAAAUAACAAAACCCCGGCGCCGAACGCGCCAAGGAAAAUGAAAUCGUUUAGUGCGCCCCCGUCGGCUCGGAGACGGUGCCAGUACGGGCGGCGUUGCGACACGCGUAUCUGAA